rnacentral:rRNA from 1 species
CGCGUCUGAUUAGCUGGUUGGCGGGGCAGCGGCCACCAAGGCGACGAUCAGUAGCCGGCCUGAGAGGGCGGACGGCCACAUUGGGACUGAGACACGGCCCAGACUCCUGCGGGAGGCAGCAGUGGGGAAUAUUGCACAAUGGGGGAAACCCUGAUGCAGCGACGCCGCGUGAGUGAAGAAGUCAUUCGUGACGUAAAGCUCUUUCGGCAGGGAAGAAAACGACGGUACCUGACGAAGAAGCCCCGGCUAACUAC